rnacentral:rRNA from 1 species
AUGUGCCGGAACCUGAAAUCUAUCUCGUCAAAAUUUUGGUGGGGAGCAACUAAUGGUGAGAGGAAGGUGCAUUGGAUCUCUUGGGACAAGAUGUGUGAGGCUAGGAAGGAGGGUGGCCUGGGUUUCAAAGAUCCAGAGGCCUUCAACCAAGCUUUGUUAGCCAAGCAAGCGUGGCGCCUCCUUCAACAGCCAACGUCUUUGUGUGCUCGUGUUCUCAAGGCUCACUACUAUCCGGACUGUUCCAUCAUGAAUGCGGUUUGCCCUGCAGCUGGUUCCUUCACUUUCAAAAGUAUCAUUCAUGGGAGGGAGCUGUUGCGUGCGGGUUCUAUUUGGCGUAUUGGUGAUGGAUCAGGGGUUAACAUUCACCAUAGCAACUGGAUACCACGGAUGGGGAGUAUGAGGCCACUGGGCCAGACUUACAUCCCCGGAAUAACCAAAGUGGCUGAUUUGCUUACCCCUGAUGGUACGACCUAG